UACAGAGGUCCCGAGCGUUGUUCGGAUUCACUGGGCGUAAAGGGUGCGUAGGCGGGUUUUUAAGUCAGGGGGGAAAUCCUGGAGCUCAACUCCAGAACUGCCUUUGAUACUGAAGAUCUUGAGUUCGGGAGAGGUGAGUGGAACUGCGAGUGUAGAGGUGAAAUUCGUAGAUAUUCGCAAGAACACCAGUGGCGAAGGCGGCUCACUGGCCCGAUACUGACGCUGAGGUGCGAAAGCGUGGGGAGCAAACAGG
rnacentral:rRNA from 1 species